rnacentral:rRNA from 1 species
GCUUACGGCCAUACCAGCCUGGGUACGCCCGAUCUCGUCUGAUCUCGGAAGCUAAGCAGGGUUGGGCCAGGUUAGUACUUGGAUGGGAGACCGCCUGGGAAUACCAGGUGCUGUAAGCA